rnacentral:rRNA from 1 species
UGGGGUAUAUUGCACAAUGGGCGAAAGCCUGAUGCAGCGACGCCGCGUGGGGGAUGAAGGCCUUCGGGUUGUAAACUUCUUUUGCUCUGAACAAGGCAUGCCUUUGGGGUGUGUUGAGUGUAGGGGUUGAUUAGCGCCGGCUAACUACGUGCCAGCAGCCGCGGUAAUACGUAGGGCGCGAGCGUUGUCCGGAAUUAUUGGGCGUAAAGGGCUUGUAGGUGGCUGGUUGCGUCUGUCGUGAAAGCUCAUGGCUUAACUGUGGGUUUGCGGUGGGUACGGGCUGGCUUGAGUGCAGUAGGGGAGGCUGGAAUUCCUGGUGUAGCGGUGGAAUGCGCAGAUAUCAGGAGGAAUACCGGUGGCGAAGGCGGGUCUCUGGGCUGUUACUGACGCUGAGGAGCGAAAGCGUGGGGAGCGAACAGG